GGAGAGCCACCAUAUAAGCACCAAGCCUAACCAGCUGAAAGGGCACUGAAAAAAAUCCAUAUAAAAUUAUAAAUACUCCAUUCUCCAGACUUUAUAGGAUGGAUAAUGUUUCAUAAAGUAAACUACAGUAUUUCAUUUCUCAUUUCUUGUUGCCGCCGUCCAUAAUCGCCAAUAUCCGAUCAUUUAUUUGACUCAUGGAACUAGAACCAUCCUGGAAGGAUCAUGAUUGUAGAUACUUGUCGGUCAGUAAAGAAGACAAUACAAGCGAACCUGACGUGGUUGACCCUUUGUUAGAAAUAACUCCUGUCAAUGAUGAAGAAAAGGAUGUUGUCUGUAUUAACUCCAUUCUCCCAGAUGAUAUUUUAGAGCGAGUUUUUGGACAUCUUCCAGUUUCAACAGUUAUUAAAGCAGGUUGUGUAUGUAAGAAAUGGAAUGAUAUGUUGCAGUCUGAAAGAUUUAUACAGAAUCUGCCUAGCACUUCACCUCAAAAACCUUGGUACUUCAUGUUUACCAACGACUCUGAUCCGCAAGGGCAUGUAUAUGAUCCUAUGCUUUUGAAGUGGUACAGAUUUGAGAUCCCGUAUGUUGAGAUGCCUAGUUGGAAUCUUUUUUCAUCUUCAGGUUUAGUAUGCUUUAUGGAUAAUGACUCUAGGAGAAAACUAUAUGUUUGUAAUCCAGUUACAAGAUGUUGUAGAAAGCUUGCAGGGCCUUAUGGUACAGAAUUAUCUGAUUACUGUGCCCUUGCAGUCUCAUUGGAUGAAUCAUCACGAAAGUAUACACUGGCUAUAGUGAGAUCUAAACAAGCUCCUGGAGAACAGGCAGAUUGGGGUCUCUCAAUUGAUGUUUAUAGUUCCAAAAAUAAGUUAUGGACAUGUCCUGUGGAGGUUAAUUUACAAGCUUGGAGAAGUGGAGCUGACAGUGUGAUAUGUGGUGGGAUUCUGUAUUUUGUGGUAUAUCUAACAAGGACACUGGGCUUUAUAAGCCCCCACUAUGGUGUGCUGGCUUAUGAUCUUGCUUCUGAGUCCUUUGACAUUGAUGUGGUUGAACGCGUGAUUCUGGCACCUUGUCCUGUCACAUGCAUGCGGUUGAUGAACAUUAAAGAAGAGCUUGUUAUGGUGGGAGGGAUUGAGAAACAAGGGCGAUCUGGCGUGAUCAAAGGCAUUGGUAUCUGGGUUCUUAAAGGGAAGGCGUGGGAAGAGGUUUCCCGUAUGCCAAACAAAUUCUUCAGAGGAUUUGGGGAGUUUGACGAUGUCUUUGCCAGUAGUGGUUUUGACAAUCUUAUAUACAUUCAGGGCUAUGGAACUCCUGCUCUUCUUAUGUUUGAAAUGAAUACAAAAGAAUGGAGGUGGUCACACAGAUGCCCUGCCACCAAGAAGUUUCCUCUCCAGCUGUUUUCUGGAAUUUGUUUUGAACCCCGGUUUGAUAUUUCUCCGUGAUUUGGGCAUUCUACGAUCAUCAUUUCUUCUCGACUCUGCUAGAUUUCUACAGUACUCAUUUCCAUCAAUACGCGAAAUAUUAGCAUCCAAUAAUGAGCAGGUGGUACCCUCCUCCAUUCAUAACUCGUGGAAGGAAGAUUUCGGCGUCAAAGUGUAUUAUAAGUAAAACCCACAAGCCCAAUCGACUCACAUGUGUCUCAAACCAUCAAGGACUUGAAUUGAGAAACAUGAGCUUUGAAGUAUAACAAUCUGCCACUUAACAGGUCAGAGGGAAGAGAGUAGCUCAAAACUUUUCAUAGCUCUCACUAGUGAAGUGAAAGCAGCCUUGAGAGAUUUUUGUGGAAUACCAAGUGGAGGCUGAUUUUUUGGUUAAAUGGUGUUUCAUUAAAGCUCAAUUUCGGUGGGUCAGUUUGCAACAAUUAAUUUAGCAGCGACAGCCGACAGGAUUCAUCAUCAGGGACAACCUUCAAUCUUGGAUUCUUGGUAUUACCAAAUUAAUCUUCAUUCACAUAGCUUUACAACAUGGUAUCCUCAAUAUUCAAAUUGAGGGCAACAAUCUGUUAGUUAUCAGCUUUGUCCAAGGCGUUAGGUCCAUUCCAUGGGAGAUCAAGCACAUCAUUAGCAAAUGUGGUUCAUCUAGUCAGUGAAAACAUGGAUAUUAUUUAAUUUCUGUUCUUUCUUCAAAUACAUUGGAAAUUUCCUUCGUGAGGAGGGCUUCUUAAUGGUUUUUCCUUUUUCUUA